rnacentral:rRNA from 1 species
ACUCCUACGGGAGGCAGCAGUGGGGAAUAUUGCACAAUGGGCGCAAGCCUGAUGCAGCCAUGCCGCGUGUGUGAAGAAGGCCUUCGGGUUGUAAAGCACUUUCAGUCGUGAGGAAGGUAGUGUAGUUAAUAGCUGCAUUAUUUGACGUUAGCGACAGAAGAAGCACCGGCUAACUCCGUGCCAGCAGCCGCGGUAAUACGGAGGGUGCGAGCGUUAAUCGGAAUUACUGGGCGUAAAGCGCAUGCAGGUGGUUUGUUAAGUCAGAUGUGAAAGCCCGGGGCUCAACCUCGGAAUAGCAUUUGAAACUGGCAGACUAGAGUACUGUAGAGGGGGUAGAAUUUCAGGUGUAGCGGUG